AGCAGCUUGACACCAUGUGGGAACAUCUAGAUAACAUUUCCAGCGUUCCUGGCCUCUGUCAUUAGUCUACAUACUUAAGACAUAUGGGGGUUAAUGGGACACACACCCAGCCUGUGAUUCAAAUCCAACAAUAGUGCUCUCAAUUAAACCAACAUUCAUGACACGUUUUAUGAAAAAAAAAAAAAAAGUUUAUUGAAUUAACAACUGUACAUGAUCAGUGCUGACACAGUUUGCUACAUACUUUGGUGUGAAUUUGCGAGAUUGUGAAAGGCAGGCGGGGCAGGUUUUGUAUUGUACUAAAUACUAAAGAAGAGUUUGCCGUGACCGGUUCUGCUGCGGCCCCAUGAAGCAGACUCCAGUUCCCACAGUUAAAACAGUCCACAUUUACACAAAAAGGGUUAGUCAGGAUCAGGUUUAAAAGAGCCGGUCUCUCUCGCUCUCGUAUGCCCACACACUUUCACACUUAGCUUCCAUCAAAGUCAGCGCAGGCAAAGAAUAUAUUCAUUAGAAAACUGGCUCAACUUGUACAGAAGCGAAUCCCCAAUUGGCUCCGAUCACUCAUGUAGAAGAAGGUUUACAUCAAUCUGUGAGUGAAAACAGGGCUGCAGGCUCAUUAGGGUGGGGCUCAACAGCAGAAGUAAGCUGUCAAUCACUGGGGUGAAUCAUAUCCCAUUUCAACAACAGCGAACUACAGUGGGGCCACUUAUGGGAUCAGUUGGAAAGUUACUCAUCGCAAUGUGCGAUCCACGCCGAGUCAGCAUGUUACAAUCACACUUCAUUAUCUGAAUUCAUCUUUCCAACAAGACGCCACACAAUGCAAAGUGCACAGAAAAGUAGUACAGUUAGUCAUUCUCCAGGUUUAAUAUCGCUGUCAAUUUACAAACAUCUCCUCACUCUCCUCUGGGCUGUUUCCAUCGUAUUCCGACUUCCGCAGGAUUCCAGUCUGAUCCCAUUUUCCAUGAACUGCACAUAGGCUCAAAAAGCAAAAAAAAAAAAACUAUUACCAAGAUUAUUCUGGAACAGGAAGGGUUUUUCCACGUGAGCCUUUUAGCAAAUGGCCAGCCCAGAGAGUGUGCUUACAAAAUCAAUAUUAAAAAGUGUGUCCUAAUCUACAUUCAUCAAGCAUUAAGGACAUGAGGACAAAGAAACCAUCACAA